AUGCUAUACUUGAAAAGCUGUAUUCGUUUUGUCAAUGCAGCCCUUGGUGCUUAGUUCCCUUUCGCCAAGCAUAUUACAUGCGGUUUAGCCGCUAAAGGAGAAAACAUG
rnacentral:ncRNA from 1 species